rnacentral:rRNA from 1 species
CGCGUAGGCGGCCAGCGCAGGUCAGUUGUGAAAUCUCCGGGCUUAACUCGGAAAGGUCAACUGAUACUGCGCGGCUAGAGUGCGGAAGGGGCAACUGGAAUUCUCGGUGUAGCGGUGAAAUGCGUAGAUAUCGAGAGGAACACCUGCGGCGAAGGCGGGUUGCUGGGCCGACACUGACGCUGAGGCGCGAAAGCCAGGGGAGCGAACG